rnacentral:rRNA from 1 species
GAUGAACGCUGGCGGCGUGCCUAAUACAUGCAAGUCGAGCGAACGGACGAGAAGCUUGCUUCUCUGAUGUUAGCGGCGGACGGGUGAGUAACACGUGGAUAACCUACCUAUAAGACUGGGAUAACUUCGGGAAACCGGAGCUAAUACCGGAUAAUAUUUUGAACCGCAUGGUUCAAAAGUGAAAGACGGUCUGGCUGUCACUUAGAGAUGGAUCCGCGCUGCAUUAGCUAGUUGGUAAGGUAACGGCUUACCAAGGCAACGAUGCAUAGCCGACCUGAGAGGGUGAUCGGCCACACUGGAACUGAGACACGGUCCAGACUCCUACGGGAGGCAGCAGUAGGGAAUCUUCCGCAAUGGGCGAAAGCCUGACGGAGCCACGCCGCGUGAGUGAUGAAGGUCUUCGGAUCGUAAAACUCUGUUAUUAGGGAAGAACAUCUGUGUAAGUAACUGUGCACAUCUUGACGGUACCUAAUCAGAAAGCCCCGGCUAACUACGUG